AGAGUUUGAUCCUGGCUCAGGACGAACGCUGGCGGCGCGCCUAACACAUGCAAGUCGAACGAGCGAGAGAGAGCUUGCUUUCUCGAGCGAGUGGCGAACGGGUGAGUAACGCGUGAGGAACCUGCCUCAAAGAGGGGGACAACAGUUGGAAACGACUGCUAAUACCGCAUAAGCCCACGGUGCCGCAUGGCGCAGAGGGAAAAGGAGCAAUCCGCUUUGAGAUGGCCUCGCGUCCGAUUAGCUAGUUGGUGAGGUAACGGCCCACCAAGGCGACGAUCGGUAGCCGGACUGAGAGGUUGAACGGCCACAUUGGGACUGAGACACGGCCCAGACUCCUACGGGAGGCAGCAGUGGGGGAUAUUGCACAAUGGGGGAAACCCUGAUGCAGCGACGCCGCGUGGAGGAAGAAGGUCUUCGGAUUGUAAACUCCUGUUGUUGAGGAAGAUAAUGACGGUACUCAACAAGGAAGUGACGGCUAACUACGUGCCAGCAGCCGCGGUAAAACGUAGGUCACAAGCGUUGUCCGGAAUUACUGGGUGUAAAGGGAGCGCAGGCGGGAAGACAAGUUGGAAGUGAAAUCCAUGGGCUCAACCCAUGAACUGCUUUCAAAACUGUUUUUCUUGAGUAGUGCAGAGGUAGGCGGAAUUCCCGGUGUAGCGGUGGAAUGCGUAGAUAUCGGGAGGAACACCAGUGGCGAAGGCGGCCUACUGGGCACCAACUGACGCUGAGGCUCGAAAGUGUGGGUAGCAAACAGGAUUAGAUACCCUGGUAGUCCACACCGUAAACGAUGAUUACUAGGUGUUGGAGGAUUGACCCCUUCAGUGCCGCAGUUAACACAAUAAGUAAUCCACCUGGGGAGUACGACCGCAAGGUUGAAACUCAAAGGAAUUGACGGGGGCCCGCACAAGCAGUGGAGUAUGUGGUUUAAUUCGA
rnacentral:rRNA from 1 species